GUACGCUGGCGGCACGCCUAACACAUGCAAGUCGAACGAAGUAGCAAUACUUAGUGGCAGACGGGUGAGUAACAUGUAGGUAUCUGCCCUUUGGCCUGGAAUAACACGAGGAAACUUGUGCUAAUACCGGAUAAGUCUUUACGGAGAAAGCUUUAUGCACCAUUGGAUGAGCCUGCACUUGAUUAGUUUGUUGGUGGGGUAAUGGCCUACCAAGACUGUGAUCAAUAGCUGAUUUGAGAGGAUGAUCAGCCACAUUGGGACUGAGACACGGCCCAAACUCCUACGGGAGGCAGCAGUGGGGAAUCUUGCACAAUGGAGGAAACUCUGAUGCAGCGAUGCCGCGUGAGUGAAGAAGGCCCUUGGGUUGUAAAGCUCUUUCGUCGGGGAAGAAAAUGACUGUACCCGAAUAAGAAGGUCCGGCUAACUUCGUGCCAGCAGCCGCGGUAAUACGAAGGGACCUAGCGUAGUUCGGAAUUACUGGGCUUAAAGAGUUCGUAGGUGGUUGAAAAAGUUAGUGGUGAAAUCCCAGAGCUUAACUCUGGAACUGCCAUUAAAACUUUUCAGCUAGAGUAUGAUAGAGGAAAGCAGAAUUUCUAGUGUAGAGGUGAAAUUCGUAGAUAUUAGAAAGAAUACCAAUUGCGAAGGCAGCUUUCUGGAUCAUUACUGACACUGAGGAACGAAAGCAUGGGUAGCGAAGAGGAUUAGAUACCCUCGUAGUCCAUGCCGUAAACGAUGUGUGUUAGACGUUGGAAAUUUAUUUUCAGUGUCGCAGGGAAACCGAUAAACACACCGCCUGGGGAGUACGACCGCAAGGUUAAAACUCAAAUGAAUUGACGGGGACCCGCACAAGUAGUGGAGCAUGUGGUUUAAUUCGAAGAUACGCGCAGAACCUUACCAACACUUGACAUGUUCGUCGCGACUCUAAGAGAUUAGAGUUUUCGGUUCGGCCGGACGAAACACAGGUGCUGCAUGGCUGUCGUCAGCUCGUGUCGUGAGAUGUUGGGUUAAGUCCCGCAACGAGCGCAACCCUCACUUUUAGUUGCCAUCAUUAAGUUGGGCACUCUGAAAGAACUGCCAGUGAUAAGCUGGAGGAAGGUGGGGAUGACGUCAAGUCCUCAUGGCCCUUACGUGUUGGGCUACACACGUGCUACAAUGGUAUCUACAACAGGAAGCAAGACUGCGAAGUUAAGCAAAUCCCUAAAAGAUACCUCAGUUCGGAUUGCACUCUGCAACUCGAGUGCAUGAAGCUGGAAUUACUAGUAAUCGUGGAUCAGCGUGCCACGGUGAAUGCGUUCCCGGGUCUUGUACACACCGCCCGUCACACCAUGGGAGUUGGUUCUACCUUAAGGCAAGGUUUCAAACCCUUGACCACGGUAUAGUCAGCGACUGGGGUGAAGUCAUAACAAGGUAGCCGUA
rnacentral:rRNA from 1 species